UACAGAGGGUGCGAGCGUUGUCCGGAAUCACUGGGCGUAAAGGGCGCGUAGGCGGCUUUAUAAGUCGGGGGGUGAAAGCCUGUGGCUCAACCACAGAAUUGCCUUCGAUACUGUAGAGCUUGAGACCGGAAGAGGUAAGUGGAACUGCGAGUGUAGAGGUGAAAUUCGUAGAUAUUCGCAAGAACACCAGUGGCGAAGGCGACUCACUGGACACAUAUUGACGCUGAGGUGCGAAAGCGUGGGGAGCGAACAGG
rnacentral:rRNA from 1 species